rnacentral:rRNA from 1 species
UUGCACAAUGGGCGCAAGCCUGAUGCAGCAACGCCGCGUGAGGGACGAAGGCCUUCGGGUUGUAAACCUCUUUUAGUAGGGAAGAAGCGACUGGGUUUUCCUGGGAGUGACGGUACCUGCAGAAAAAGCACCGGCUAACUACGUGCCAGCAGCCGCGGUAAUACGUAUGGUGCAAGCGUUGUCCGGAAUUAUUGGGCGUAAAGAGCUCGUAGGCGGUUUGUCGCGUCUGCUGUGAAAACCCGAGGCUCAACCUCGGGCCUGCAGUGGGUACGGGCAGACUAGAGUGCGGUAGGGGAGAUUGGAAUUCCUGGUGUAGCGGUGGAAUGCGCAGAUAUCAGGAGGAACACCAAUGGCGAAGGCAGAUCUCUGGGCCGUAACUGACGCUGAGGAGCGAAAGCAUGGGGAGCGAACAGGAUUAGAUACCCUGGUAGUCCAUGCCGUAAACGUUGGGAACUAGAUGUGGGGACCAUUCCACGGUCUCCGUGUCGCAGCUAACGCAUUAAGUUCCCCGCCUGGGGAGUACGGCCGCAAGGCUAAAACUCAAAGGAAUUGACGGGGGCCCGCACAAGCGGCGGAGCAUGCGGAUUAAUUCGAUGCAACGCGAAGAACCUUACCAAGGCUUGACAUAUACCGGAAACGGCUGGAAACAGUCGCCCCGCAAGGUCGGUAUACAGGUGGUGCAUGGUUGUCGUCAGCUCGUGUCGUGAGAUGUUGGGUUAAGUCCCGCAACGAGCGCAACCCUCGUCCUAUGUUGCCAGCACGUAAUGGUGGGAACUCAUGGGAUACUGCCGGGGUCAACUCGGAGGAAGGUGGGGAUGACGUCAAAUUAUCAUGCCCCUUAUGUCUUGGGCUUCACGCAUGCUACAAUGGCCGGUACAAAGGGCUGCGAUACCGCAAGGUGGAGCGAAUCCCAAAAAGCCGGUCUCAGUUCGGAUUGAGGUCUGCAAUUCGACCUCAUGAAGUCGGAGUCGCUAGUAAUCGCAGAUCAGCGACGCUGCGGUGAAAACGUUCCCGGGCCUUGUACACACCG